CCUACGGGAGGCAGCAGUGAGGAAUAUUGGUCAAUGGACGAGAGUCUGAACCAGCCAAGUAGCGUGAAGGAUGACUGCCCUAUGGGUUGUAAACUUCUUUUAUAUGGGAAUAAAAUGUUCCACGUGUGGGAUUUUGUAUGUACCAUAUGAAUAAGGAUCGGCUAACUCCGUGCCAGCAGCCGCGGUAAUACGGAGGAUCCGAGCGUUAUCCGGAUUUAUUGGGUUUAAAGGGAGCGUAGGUGGAUUGUUAAGUCAGUUGUGAAAGUUUGCGGCUCAACCGUAAAAUUGCAGUUGAAACUGGCAGUCUGGAGUACAGUAGAGGUGGGCGGGAUUCGUGGUGUAGCGGUGAAAUGCUUAGAUAUCACGAAGAACUCCGAUUGCGAAGGCAGCUCACUGGACUGCAACUGACACUGAGGCUCGAAAGUGUGGGUAUCAAACAGGAUUAGAUACCCCAGUAGUC
rnacentral:rRNA from 1 species